rnacentral:misc_RNA from 1 species
AGUAACCACCAUUUCCUCGGCCCCGGUUUGAGAUACCACCAUUUUCUCGACCCCGGUUUGAGUAACCAUCAUUUUCUCGACCCCAGUUUGAGUAAUCACCAUUUUCUUGAUAGUUUCCAUAUCCACCUCUGCUCCAACCACGUUCCCUCCCUAUACCACGACCUCGUCCUCGCCCAUAUGAAUCUUCAUUACCAGCAUAAUAGACUCCACGUGUUUGUCUUGGAGACUGUUGCUGCAGCUGGGGCUGGUAAUUAUUAUACUGUGGCUUCAUCUGUUCAACCUCAGAAGGAGCAGACCCGCCAUGUUUCAGUGAUUUCAAUCACGUUGUCAACACAAGAGCUG